AACGAACGCUGGCGGCAGGCCUAACACAUGCAAGUCGAGCGCCCCGCAAGGGGAGCGGCGGACGGGUGAGUAACACGUGGGAAUUUUCCUCAAGGUACGGAACAACUCAGGGAAACUUGGGCUAAUACCGUAUGAUGCAGAGAUGCCAAAGAUUUAUCGCCUUGGGAUAAGCCCGCGUCAGAUUAGGUAGUUGGUGAGGUAACGGCUCACCAAGCCUGUGAUCUGUAGCUGGUCUGAGAGGACGAUCAGCCACAUUGGGACUGAGACACGGCCCAAACUCCUACGGGAGGCAGCAGUGGGGAAUCUUGCGCAAUGGGCGAAAGCCUGACGCAGCCAUGCCGCGUGAAUGAUGAAGGUCUUAGGAUUGUAAAGUUCUUUCGCCUGUGACGAUGAUGACGGUAACAGGAGAAGAAGCCCCGGCUAACUUCGUG
rnacentral:rRNA from 1 species